rnacentral:rRNA from 1 species
UGCAGUCGAGCGGUAGCACAGAGAGCUUGCUCCUGGGUGACGAGCGGCGGACGGGUGAGUAAUGUCUGGGAAACUGCCUGAUGGAGGGGGAUAACUACUGGAAACGGUAGCUAAUACCGCAUAACGUCGCAAGACCAAAGAGGGGGACCUUCGGGCCUCUUGCCAUCAGAUGUGCCCAGAUGGGAUUAGCUAGUAGGUGGGGUAACGGCUCACCUAGGCGACGAUCCCUAGCUGGUCUGAGAGGAUGACCAGCCACACUGGAACUGAGACACGGUCCAGACUCCUACGGGAGGCAGCAGUGGGGAAUAUUGCACAAUGGGCGCAAGCCUGAUGCAGCCAUGCCGCGUGUAUGAAGAAGGCCUUCGGGUUGUAAAGUACUUUCAGCGGGGAGGAAGGUGUUGAGGUUAAUAACCUCAGCAAUUGACGUUACCCGCAGAAGAAGCACCGGCUAACUCCGUGCCAGCAGCCGCGGUAAUACGGAGGGUGCAAGCGUUAAUCGGAAUUACUGGGCGUAAAGCGCACGCAGGCGGUCUGUCAAGUCGGAUGUG